rnacentral:rRNA from 1 species
GACCCGCGUCUGAUUAGCUAGUUGGUAAGGUAACGGCUUACCAAGGCGACGAUCAGUAGCCGACCUGAGAGGGUGAUCGGCCACAUUGGAACUGAGACACGGUCCAAACUCCUACGGGAGGCAGCAGGGGGGAAUAUUGCACAAUGGGCGAAAGCCUGAUGCAGCAACGCCGCGUGAGUGAUGAAGGCCUUCGGGUCGUAAAACUCUGUCCUCAAGGAAGAUAAUGACGGUACUUGAGGAGGAAGCCCCGGCUAACUACGUGCCAGCAGCCGCGGUAAUACGUAGGGGGCUAGCGUUAUCCGGAUUUACUGGGCGUAAAGGGUGCGUAGG